UACGGAGGGUGCGAGCGUUGUCCGGAAUCAUUGGGCGUAAAGGGCGCGUAGGUGGCCACUUCAAGCGUGCGGUGAAAGUCGGGGGCUCAACCCCUGAUCGGCCGUGCGAACUGGGGGGCUGGAGCACUGUAGAGGCAGGCGGAAUUCCGGGUGUAGCGGUGGAAUGCGUAGAGAUCCGGAAGAACACCGGUGGCGAAGGCGGCCUGCUGGGCAGUAACUGACGCUGAGGAGCGAAAGCGUGGGGAGCGAACAGG
rnacentral:rRNA from 1 species